UACGUAGGGGGCAAGCGUUGUCCGGAAUCAUUGGGCGUAAAGAGCGUGUAGGCGGCUCGGUAAGUCCGCUGUAAAAGUCCAGGGCUCAACCCUGGAAAGCCGGUGGAAACUGUCGGGCUAGAGUCCGGAAGAGGCGAGUGGAAUUCCUGGUGUAGCGGUGAAAUGCGCAGAUAUCAGGAGGAACACCAAUGGCGAAGGCAGCUCGCUGGGACGGUACUGACGCUGAGACGCGAAAGCGUGGGGAGCGAACAGG
rnacentral:rRNA from 1 species